rnacentral:sRNA from 4 species
AAUGAUAAAUCAUCGAAUAUCAACCAGUUAGCGCAGGCUCUGUAAGAGCCAUUCCCCUAGGCCCAAAGCAAUAUCCGCUUCGGGCCUUUUUUU